rnacentral:rRNA from 1 species
AGAGUUUGAUCCUGGCUCAGGAUGAACGCUGGCGGCGUGCCUAAUACAUGCAAGUCGAGCGAACGGACGAGAAGCUUGCUUCUCUGAUGUUAGCGGCGGACGGGUGAGUAACACGUGGAUAACCUACCUAUAAGACUGGGAUAACUUCGGGAAACCGGAGCUAAUACCGGAUAAUAUUUUGAGCCGCAUGGUUCAAAAGUGAAAGACGGUCUUGCUGUCACUUAUAGAUGGAUCCGCGCUGCAUUAGCUAGUUGGUAAGGUAACGGCUUACCAAGGCAACGAUGCAUAGCCGACCUGAGAGGGUGAUCGGCCACACUGGAACUGAGACACGGUCCAGACUCCUACGGGAGGCAGCAGUAGGGAAUCUUCCGCAAUGGGCGAAAGCCUGACGGAGCAACGCCGCGUGAGUGAUGAAGGUCUUCGGAUCGUAAAACUCUGUUAUUAGGGAAGAACAUAUGUGUAAGUAACUGUGCACAUCUUGACGGUACCUAAUCAGAAAGCCACGGCUAACUACGUGCCAGCAGCCGCGGUAAUACGUAGGUGGCAAGCGUUAUCCGGAAUUAUUGGGCGUAAAGCGCGCGUAGGCGGUUUUUUAAGUCUGAUGUGAAAGCCCACGGCUCAACCGUGGAGGGUCAUUGGAAACUGGAAAACUUGAGUGCAGAAGAGGAAAGUGGAAUUCCAUGUGUAGCGGUGAAAUGCGCAGAGAUAUGGAGGAACACCAGUGGCGAAGGCGACUUUCUGGUCUGUAACUGACGCUGAUGUGCGAAAGCGUGGGGAUCAAACAGGAUUAGAUACCCUGGUAGUCCACGCCGUAAACGAUGAGUGCUAAGUGUUAGGGGGUUUCCGCCCCUUAGUGCUGCAGCUAACGCAUUAAGCACUCCGCCUGGGGAGUACGACCGCAAGGUUGAAACUCAAAGGAAUUGACGGGGACCCGCACAAGCGGUGGAGCAUGUGGUUUAAUUCGAAGCAACGCGAAGAACCUUACCAAAUCUUGACAUCCUUUGACAACUCUAGAGAUAGAGCCUUCCCCUUCGGGGGACAAAGUGACAGGUGGUGCAUGGUUGUCGUCAGCUCGUGUCGUGAGAUGUUGGGUUAAGUCCCGCAACGAGCGCAACCCUUAAGCUUAGUUGCCAUCAUUAAGUUGGGCACUCUAAGUUGACUGCCGGUGACAAACCGGAGGAAGGUGGGGAUGACGUCAAAUCAUCAUGCCCCUUAUGAUUUGGGCUACACACGUGCUACAAUGGACAAUACAAAGGGCAGCGAAACCGCGAGGUCAAGCAAAUCCCAUAAAGUUGUUCUCAGUUCGGAUUGUAGUCUGCAACUCGACUACAUGAAGCUGGAAUCGCUAGUAAU